rnacentral:rRNA from 1 species
GAUGAACGCUGGCGGCGUGCCUAAUACAUGCAAGUCGAGCGAACGGACGAGAAGCUUGCUUUUCUGAUGUUAGCGGCGGAAGGGUGAGUAACACGUGGAUAACCUACCUAUAAGACUGGGAUAACUUCGGGAAACCGGAGCUAAUACCGGAUAAUAUCUUGAACCGCAUGGUUCAAAAGUGAAAGACGGUCUUGCUGUCACUUAUAGAUGGAUCCGCGCUGCAUUAGCUAGUUGGUAAGGUAACGGCUUACCAAGGCAACGAUGCAUAGCCGACCUGAGAGGGGGAAGCGGCCCACUGGAGCUGAGACACGGUCCAGACUCCUACGGGAGGCAGCAGUAGGGAAUCUUCCGCAAUGGGCGAAAGCCUGACGGAGCAACGCCGCGUGAGUGAUGAAGGUCUUCGGAUCGUAAGACUCUGUUAUUAGGGAAGAACAUAUGUGUAAGUAACUGUGCACAUCUUGACGGUACCUAAUCAGGAAGCCACGGCUAACUACGUG